rnacentral:miRNA from 1 species
AAAACAUAGUGUGGUCUGUAUAUAAAACACAAUAAGAAGGAAAUUAUGAGCUGGAAAUUAUUAUCCUUCUUAUUGUGUUUUAUAUACAGACCACACUA